rnacentral:rRNA from 1 species
CAAUAGCGUAUAUUAAAGUUGUUGCAGUUAAAAAGCUCGUAGUUGGACUUCUGCGGGUGGCGGCCGGUCGUGCUCGAAACGGGCGUGAACUUGGCGUGCUGCCCGCAUCUUUGGGGAGAUUGUGCGUGGCAUUAAGUUGUCGUGCAUGGGAUUCUCAUCAUUUACUGUGAAAAAUUAGAGUGUUUAAAGCAGGCCUUUGCCUUGAAUACAUUAGCAUGGAAUAAUAAGAUAGGACCGUUGUCUAUUUUGUUGGUUUACAGAUGUCGGUAAUGAUUAAUAGGGAUAGUUGGGGGUAUUCGUAUUCAGUUGUCAGAGGUGAAAUUCUUGGAUUUUCGGAAGACGCACGACUGCGAAAGCAUUUACCAAGGAUGUUUUCAUUAA